ACUACUUAGAAUGCUUUCAUACACCUAAAUGUGAAAAAAAAUAGAAAAAGUUUAGAGAUAAUUAUCAACCUAUUUUUUAUUUCUGCAGCCCACAAGACAAAUGUGACACCAAAAUUUCAUAACUUAAAAAGCACAUUAGACCUUUCCUGACAAUAUGAUGCACCUCCAAAAUCAUAGGCAGCAAUACUUUCAAAAAUCAGCUCCACAGCUACCUCACAAAGACUUACCUCAUUUUGAUGAUUUCUUACAGUUCUAAACACUGUCAUUGUAAGACUGUUCUGUACACAACCUUAAGUUCCAAAAUGAGGAAGGACAUUUUCUAGGCUUCAUACUGUGUUUGGAGAGAAUGAGGUUAAUAUUUUCCCUCAGCAGUGAGGAUCUGCAGUCCAGCAUCUUUAAUAUAGAGACUGCCAGGGGAACAGGAAGCAAUGAUGGGAAUUACUUUUUCCCUUUUCCCUCUGUGAAAACUAUGAGGAAUAUGUCUAAAAGGGUAAAAUGAUUUAACUUAGAGAUUGGGUAGAAGAUUACAUUUCUUACUCUUUUUCUUCUCAUUGCUGAUUAAAACCCUCUUCUACCUCCAAAGCAACAACUUGUCUUUGAGAUUCAAUUCUCUAUUUUCUCUGGGGAAAUACAAACACUAACUUGAUCUUUAUUUAGCAGUAAUCUCCAAAGUGUAGCACGUGUAUACAAUUACAAUGACUUUGUAGCAGUUCUCUAAGUUCCUUCACUUAGAGAACAACCUAAGUGCUGAUAUUAGACUACUUAGGUUAUCAUCCUAUCCAUUUAUUUGUUCAUUCAGGAGUUCAGUCAGGCUUUAGAGCUUUCACCCGGCAACGGUCAACUACCAACUAGACAUAUAGGUUUCUGGGAGACAAAACGUAGAUAACAUGUGAUUCACAUCUUCCAAAAGUUUAGUUUCAGGAGAAGGCAAAUAUGUGAACAAAUAAUCAUGAUAUAACUCAUAGUGGGAUAUUUGAAGUGUGAAAAAAUAGAUCCUAGAAUACAGAUUUCUAAAUCUAUGAAUUCUAUGCUUCAUAGCACACGCGUGUGCACGUGCACACACACACACACACACACAGGACAAGAUCAAGAAAACAAAUAGUUGGCCAGGCAUGGUGGCUCACGCCUGUAAUCCCAGAACUUUGGGAGGCCUAUACAGGUGGAUUAGCUGAGGUCAGGAGUUUGAGACCAGCCUGGCCAACCUUGUCCAUCAGAACAUAUUUAUUAGCAAUGAAGAACAUACCCAAAUACCAAUUCCUAGCUAUUUAUAGUAUGAAAG
rnacentral:lncRNA from 10 species